GGGAGAAUCAUGGACAAGUAACA
rnacentral:piRNA from 1 species